AAAAUCCAAAAGUAUAUAUAUUUUUAAAAAAAAAUACAAGAAAAACACAUGUAAGGUGAAAGGAACAUGUAUUUUAGAACAUUAGAACAUCACUUUUAGAACAUUAGACCAACAGAACAACACUUAAAAAUUUCAAUCUUAAAGUGUUAUUGGAGGACAUGAUAACACUAAAAAAAAAAUUUUAAUGUAAUAUGUAGAAAAUCAAGGUUAAUAAAGUUGCCAUGUUUGGUUCUUUACCCAUAAGUGACAAAAAAAUUAAACAAAGCAGGUCCACUCACUGUCCUCACUGGAACUAUUGUCACCACUGUUUUGUUAUUUGUGCGGAAAUAACCAAAAACAGUCACUUGCCCGAUAAAGGGUUAAAAGCAUAAACAAAUAUAGAUGUAGUUAGAUUAUUUAGAUGAUUUUUUAUUUUUUUUUAUCUGUUAGAUUUCCCUCAUAUUGUGCAGGUGUAAUGACUAACAUAAGGUUUUAUUUGAUUGAAAUCUGAGCAUUAUUUGUGUGAGACGGGGUUGUUUAGUUUGCAUUGUGUUUAUGCAAGUGUAAAGGAAUUCACACGCUCUUAUGCAGCCGCCGUGGCUAAAGCCCUGCUGGAUAAUGUUAUUAUAUGACUAUAAUUAUUACUAUUCUGUAUAUCAUUCAUAUUAAUGUUAUUAUGAUUAUGAAAUACAUGUUGAAGCAUGACUUUGCAAAAAAAAAUGGCGAAAAAAAACAAAACAAAACAAUGCUGUACAUUUUUAGAUAUUUUAAAGAAAUACAAAAAGGUAUUUUUGUAAUCGAGACGAUGUUUGGAAUGGUUCUGUUUGAUUGGUUCAUGUUGUGUUCAAGUGUGCGAGGAUCUAUUCGAAGCCUUUCAUACUUUGUUUAUUCGUCCCCCCACUUUGUUUUCAAGUCGCCGUCCUGCUAAAAACCGAAGCCGUCCAAACCGAGUCGGUAGGUUUUUUUUGUUUUUUUUGUUUUUUUUCUUUAUCCGCUCGUAUGCGUGCGUUUUUACCCAAUGAAAUUUGUGGUUUUUCGUCCGAUGUGCUUUGGUUGAACUGAGCGAAAACAGAUAAACACACCCGAGGGGAAAAUUCACGAUCCCCGAACCCUGCUAUAAUUAGGAAUCUGCGUUUUUUUUUGUUUGUUUUAUUUUGUCAUGUAUCGGCAGGACAGCAGCUCAGUAUAAAGAAACAAAAAGACCAAAGGCGUUUUUUUUUUUUUUUACACUGGAGAGCUAUCUAGGCUAGUGAAAUUCUUCUGUUUCCGACUGCUUUGUAGUCCUCAAUCUGAUUUCUUAUGAAGUAUGACAUUUUUGCUGCAUGUCUCUUUUUUUUUUUUUUGGUGUCAGACCAGAUACUCAAUUUAUCUCUUUUGUCUAUUUUUAGGGAAGUCGGUGUGAUUCAACCUGCUUUUGUAUAAAAAAAAAUAAAAAGAAAUAAAAAAAAAAAAAAUCUGAUUUACAUAGUAAUGAUCGGACAGGAAAAACAAUCUUUUUAUAAGUGUGUGUUUUCCGGCAAUAACAACAUAUCACAGAGCGAUCAUAUUCCUGUGACAUUUUUUUAAGGCAAAAAAAAAAAUCUCCUUCAUCAGGAAACAAAAGCGAUUCUUGUGCUUUUCUGAUGAGGCCGAGUCACAUGUCAUCGUUAUGUGACAAUCAGAAGCUGAAAAAAAAAACCAAAAAAAAGCAAAAAAACAAUCUGUCCCAGUCGUCUACAAUCGUAUCGAACUGGUUGAAUCAUAUAGUCAGUGUUUGUAACGAAUAAUAAUAUGCACAUCAUAUCGACUGAUUUUUUUUUUUUUUUUUGCUUUUUAUUGACUUUUUUUUUUUUUUUUUUGCCAAAUGGGGCACCAAAAUUUAUUAGAACAAGUAUUUAUAAGGUGUGUGAGUGUGUGUUUUUAUCGGUAUUAUGUUUUUAAAAGUUCAUAGAGGAUGCCCAUUAUAUAAUUCUAUGUAAGUAUUAAUGUAAGUUUGAAUUGUAUAUUCAUUUGCUAAUUUUUCUAGAGCUUCUGUACGUGUUUGUAUUUGACUGAUUGGAACAUACUGUAUGUGAUGUAUGAAUACUGUUUGAACUACAUAAUUCACUGUGAAAUCCUUUAAAGAAUGACAGUACGGUACAGAGGUUCCUGGACGUUAAUAUUAACCAUCCAUUGGUUUUCGACGAUUGAAGCCCCGCCCACUUUCCCUGGUUUCAGUAAAAAAAAAAAAAAAAAAUUAGAAAAAUGUAUGUACCCGUGUGUUCUGUGCAUGUUCACGGCAUGUGUGUGUGUUUUUUCCUUUUUUUUUUUUUUUUUUUUUUUUUUUUCUUAAUGCAUACAGUACUGUUGAUAUUUAUGUAUCUGAACCGCUGUGAGGAGAAACUGUAUUUCGGUGAAUUGCAGAGGUUUUGUUUGUUUGUUUGUUUUGUUUGUUUGGAAUCAUAAAAAAAAGGUGAUCAAAAAGAGAAGUUUUUAUGAAAAUGUUAAAUGAAGACAUGAGGCCAUCUGCUAUUAAAGAUUGACGUCAUCCCUGCUGUCAUGAUU